UACGUAGGGGGCAAGCGUUGUCCGGAUUUAUUGGGCGUAAAGCGCGCGCAGGCGGCUAUUUAAGUCUGGUGUUUAAACCUUGGGCUCAACCUGAGGUCGCACUGGAAACUGGGUGGCUUGAGUACAGAAGAGGAAAGUGGAAUUCCACGUGUAGCGGUGAAAUGCGUAGAUAUGUGGAGGAACACCAGUGGCGAAGGCGACUUUCUGGGCUGUAACUGACGCUGAGGCGCGAAAGCGUGGGGAGCAAACAGG
rnacentral:rRNA from 1 species